GAAGAAAAAAAAAAGCAAAAAGCAAAUAAUAAAAAAUGAAAAAAAAAACAUGUGGGGAAAGUUAAAGCUAAAUUUUCAACCAGCUAAAUAUUAAAAUCAUUUAAGAAAACACUGUAACAAUCUAUAGUGUUUUGUGAGGAAAUAUACAACUAUAAUUCUCAACCAGCUCAAUAUUAAAGAAAAAAAUUCAAUAAAGAUAAUUUUG
rnacentral:lncRNA from 1 species